GAGGGUAUAGCUCAAGCAGUAGAGCACAUGCUUAGUGUGCAUGAGGUCCUGGGUUCAAUCCCCAACACCUCUU
rnacentral:tRNA from 1 species